AAGCAUCAUAAGAAACACAGAAUUAGCUUCUGUCUGGAGGAAAGAGGUCAGCAGACAAAUAGGUCACAGAUUACCAGGAAACACCGACGUUAAUAGACUCAGGUGCAGUCAAGCAUAGGAAGCAUUCCAAAGACAGAUGAGUUUCAAGCAAAAUAUUAAUAAAAUAAGGAGUAACAGUAAGGGGAAACUGGAGCCCGUGGUCAUUGUUGGUGAACUUCAGGUCUUGGUGACCUUUGGAAGUGGCCUUGAAGGGGAAAAAUUCACUGAAGGGCUACAUAUAGCCUGAACUGAAGAUGGAGUCUCACUCUCUAGCCCACUGACAGGGUGGAAUGCAGUUGUGUGAUCUCGGCUGAUCGCAACCUCCACCUCCCGGGUUCAAACGAUUCUCCUGCCUCAGUCUUCCUAGUAGCUGGGACUACUGGUGCACUCCAGGUGCACUGGCCCAAACGUUACUUUUUGAAAAAUAACAAUUUUUAACCACAAAAAUUAUAAAUGAAACAGCUCAAGAGGA